CGGAGCCGCGCGGGGCCGCCGCUCUCUCCGCCGCUUUGGAAGGAAGGAAGGCAGGCAAACCGGCAGCCUGAGGCGGCACCGGCUUUAGCCAGGGCUUGUCUUCCGGGAAGGAGCCCCUCCGUGCCGCUGCAGGACGAGGGGUCCCGUUAACGCCGCCAGGAAGCGACCCGGGAGGCGCCACCAGUAAGUGCCGCUGGCCUGGCCUCCUGAGGGCCGGGAACGCCCGGCUGCGAGAGGGCCGGCUACCGAAAGGGUAUUUCCAGACAUGGCGAAACUAUGUGGGGAGCCUCAGGAGGUGGGAGUUCCUUCUACCUGGGCUUUCCCAGCCUGUGCGAUGGGGCCCUGCGUGAGGAACCGGAGGAAAGGAGGACAGAGAAAUCUGCCCAAAUAUAUCCGGAAAAUGAACCAAAAUCAGUUAACAUAAACCAUGCAAAAAAGCUUCACAACUGUCAGUGACUGCUCUGAGUUGUUAUGAAGGAGAAGUUGGUGUACAUGUCAGAAUAAACGUGAUAAAUUACAAAUCAUUCUUGGCCAUAAAAUGUGUUCUAGGAAUCCCGCUAGUACUCAUGGAAAUGGUGAAUAGUUUUUGUUUUGUUUGAGUGCACAUACUAUUACAUAGAAUGGGAAUCUUUUUGUUCAAGACUGACACGAGGGACAGCAACUUGUUUCACGUAUACCUUUUACUGUACAUGUUUUUCAAUCUUGAAAUGCCAAAUUAAUAUUUGAUAUGCCAGUUAUAAUUUGGCAAUGUUUAUCACAAAAAACAAUAGAUAUUAUCUGUUUGUACAAGGCAAGUGAUUUCUCUUAUGGCUUCCAACAUUAAAUGUCAGCUGGCUUGAGAGAGCCACACAAAUAACCUUCCAAAAUAACAUUUCUUAUAAAUUGUCUAACAGAUGAUAAGUACAGGUUUUGAAAAAUGCAAGAGAGGAAUCCAGAUGGUGGGGUAGUGUAGGAAAGAUCAGUCACUCAUUUUGGUCAAACAAGGAAUAUAGACACACAUCCCCCAACCUCAAAAAAAAAAGUCUGGUGCUUAAUCUGCUUAUAGGGCAGGCUGAUAACUGGAAUGAUGAGGCUGGUAACAAAAGAAAUGUAAUGGGAAAAUGAUCCGCUCAACAUGUAAUUAAUACUAGCAUCUGUCGCCAUUUAAUGAAUGCUACACUAAUCAGAAGAUUUUGUCAUGUUAGUAAAAUGUUCAGCUACUUACCCACAAAAGACCAGCUUGGUACAUUCACAGGGCUGCCGUGGUUCUGUGCAAUAUUCCACACGUGAUCUGCUCGUGUAACAGCCAGGACUCUGUCAAAUAUGCUACUACAGAAUUGUGUGUUUGGCCAGAGAUCAGCAACUGGGUUCUCUCAAACACAUACACAGGACAUGUAGAUGAACAAACAGUGUAAGUAACUGGGCAAACAGUUCUCAUGAAUGUUCUUGUUCUUUACCCCUCAUUGCUCCCAUUGUUUAGUGUUCGCCUCUCUUUCUUCAAUCAGUUUCUGAUUAAAUCAAUACAUUCUGAGCACAGCGCAUUAUUUUGGAUACUGAGUACUAUAGUAUUUGCUUAAAAGAUCCUAUAAUUAGUUGUUUCAAUUUUUAAAAUAAAGGUUUUUUCUGACUUUUUUAGUUGUAAGCAAAAAUUCUGAACUUAUAGCACUUAAAUCUUUAAGAACCUUUUUUUAAAAAAAUCCUUUUACAAUAAACAACCCAAUUCUCUACUGAUCUCUGUAAGUCCUAUACUACAAAAACCAAACAAAAAGUCACCACCACACCACCACCAACAUAUCCCAAACAAAAAUUAAACAAAACAAAACACUCCGACAAUUUAUAAUUUUCAAUAAAAUAUUAUUUUAAGAGUCGUUAAUAAAUGAUCCUUAGGGUGGGCUGGCUGAUUUUCAGUCGUAAGAACCUUCAUGAUUUAUUAAACCUGCAAGGAUAGCUCCUCAAUUUGGUAUUUUACAGUUAACUAUUAUAUCUUGGGCUUGUUUUCAAGUCUGUAUGAUGACAUUUGAUAUGUAACCUAUUUGAUUGACAGCAGAUGCCAUUUGAAGUGCUUAAGCCAGAUGGAUUGGGGCGGGGGGGAAAUUAACAGAUGUUCUAAUAGUAAUUGAGCUGAAAUUAAUUUCAUGUUACACAAAACAAUUUUUGGAAAGAUAAGUCUUAUUUUAAGUAAAUAUCUGUAGGAGAUGAACCUUUUUCAAAAUUCUACUAUUUUAUUUGCCUUUGAAACCUGAGGGAUGCCAUACCAGUUACUACCUAGUCAGAUUGUAUCCAGGUCUCUUCUUUGACUUUUCAAACAGAGAUUUGUGUUCUUAGCAAACAAAAAGAGCACAGAAAUUUCUCAAGAGGAAGUUUAAAAAAUUAUAUUUUAUUAUGAGCUAUUUGUAUGGAGCACUUCAACUGCAUAAAAUAGGAAAUUGUUGUUGUUGUUGUUGUUGUAAAGUAGAAAUAUUUCAAGUAUACUUUGUUGAGACCAGGAGACAGCAGCCAUUUUGUCCCAGCUCCGGAAAUGCUCUGCUAUGCUGAAAAGAUGUAUUUCCAAAAGAAUCAAACAUUUUCAUGGUAAUUCUAUCACACAGUAUUAAUCAGUUAUUAUCAGGAGAAUGUUCAUUAAGCCUAAAAUACGUAGGGAAAUCACCUUUGCUUUUUUUGCUGUCUCUAAUUCAGACAUCAAAGUAAACAGUAGAGCUGCUCAGAGAAAAUGUAGACAGUUUCUCUGGGGAAAUAAUGCUGAACUGGAAAAAUAUGAAUAUUGUUGUCAGGUGUUCCAGUCCAAAGCUAAAAUAAGUCAUUUUAGCAGUUUGGAUGCCUGAUGGUACCUCUCAUGUCUGUGAUGUGCCACCUCUGGGUGUAUGCACUUGCUAGAUCUUAUCCAUAAGGUUUGGGGAAGAUUUGGGAAUUCUUUGGUCAUGCUGCAAUAUUGAAAAUGUAAUGCAGCCACAAGAACUGACAUAGGAAAAUUUGGGCUUUUAACAACUGAAAUGCAAUUGGUGGUGUGUUGCACUGGCAAUGCUGGAACUUCAGGGCUUUCAUUAUUAGUGGAGCAAGAUUUCUCUAGAGAAGGGAUUAGGUACAGCAAUGUAAGUGGUGGGGUUUUACCUUCCCAGAAGGCUCAAUUCUCUUUUUGGAGGGUGAUUGUUUUGGGUUUUUUUCCCCACAAACAUUACUAAAUGCUUAAUCCUGUGAAACAUUCAUUUAUUGAUUUGAAGUUAGAUAUAUAACUUAUAUGGAGUGAUUGUUACUUGUGAAGUUGAGUUCUUAGUGAGCCUAUGAUAAUGCAGUGCUGUCAUGUGGGCUUAUAAAAUCCUUUUUCAGUAGUGGUUGAGCUGUUAUUUAAAGAUGCAUUGGAAUAUUCUCAUAUCAGUUUUAAUUAAGGUAUGUUAAAGGUGAUAAAGUAAUCACAGUUAAUUUGCCAUUAGUCUGGUUUUACUAUAUCACUGGUAGCCUAGAGAUGUCUCAGCUGGGUUUUGUCUACUUAUAACUAGUCUUUAAUAUUCAGACAGCAGGAUCUCACAGAAUUUAAAUGUGAUCUCCCAUUUUAUGCAUGAUUUUAAUAUUUGUGGCUUUCUUUAAAAGUAUCAUACUUGAUCUAGUCCUGCUUGACAAGGAUGAUUUUCAGGUCAUGAAGAGAAUAGUUUCUCAAGGUAAGCAAUCACAACUACUUUCUGCUUAAUAAUGGAAACAUUUCUUGCUGUAACCAAGUCAUGUUCACAUGUUCCUUAUUGCCAGUGCUUGUUCUUUAGAAAAAAGAUUUAGUGAUAUUUUUAUACUUAGGUAGUAAAUCCUUAUCAAUCUUGUUCUCUGUCUUGGGAUAUCUCAGGAGUAAUUCUACUUUGAUGUUACCGAAGGUAAGUUUGUGUUCUUGCCUGUUUUGUUUUCCUUUUUCCUGCUUCAAGUUAGAAAAAUAAUUAUUUCUUUUUUCUGUCACUUUAUUAACCAUGAACUGUUUACAUUAUUUCAUUUUCCAUAUACACAGUAGCAUUCAUGAUGAAGAACCGUCAGAUAUGUUUACUUGACUAGGCAUAUUUAUACUUUCUUCAUUUAUCAAAAGUAAUUAAAUGCACUCAGCAAAGUGUUCAAGGGAAAGAAGAAGGGUAGAAGGCAAAGCUAGAAAAGGUUCAGAAUUUUUAUCUCAAUGUGAGAUAGGCUGUGAAAGGUCGUAUAUAAAGAUGCAUCAGUGUAACCUAGAAAAAAUUUUAAACAAAGUUGGUGGUCUAAACUGCUCUAUGGAUUUUUAUUUUAAGGAUUUGCUUGAUUUUGAUUUGCUGUAAACUAAAUCAGUUUGUGUUAAACUGAAAUAAGCCUAAAUAAAACCAAAGUAAAAGUGCCUGCAGGUUUUGGAUGGACUUGACGAAAUUAGAUUAAAAUUGUGCAUUGGGUACAACCAGUGUACAUGUCAUUUGUUGGCUGAAGCCUGAAUUACACAAAUUGUCUGGAGAAGGGUGAGAACUGGAAGAAUGAACAAUAGUGCACAGUAAAAGGAUAUAAAUCAUUUGUUGAAAAAUUCAAAAUAAUACUGUAGACACAGAAACCUGGGAGAGUUCUGAAGCCAGAGUUCUAAAUAACCUAAUAAGUUGACAGUGAACAAUAGAGUGAAAGGAAUGACAGCAGAUGGGGAUUGCAAGCAAGAGAAGCUGUGUAGCUGGAAAGCAUCAAAAAAGCAAGCAGAUACUUUUGACAGAAAAUGUAAUGUAUGUUUUAAUACAUGUGCAUAUCAAAUUAUCAUGGCAAAUGAUAAUGAGAGAUUUCACUUCUUGCUAAGUUGGUGCUACAGCUGAGUUGUACUGUUGUUUUCUCCUGUGCAGUUUAUAAUGAGGCUGAAACCUAGAGGUAAUCAGUGUUAAGUUUCAUGUAAAAUGAGGAGUUAAAAUUGGACUGAAAAAAUCCUAGUGUUUGAAGAAACAGGAAACAAAGUCAACCAACAGGUAGCACAUGCUGCCUGUAGUACUGGGCUGAUAGCUGAUGGAGAGAAAGGGCACACUUGUUAACACAGCUUUUUCUAAAAACUGGAGUCAUGCGUAGGAGCCAAGUACAUGAGAAUGCCUGCACCAUGUGAUAGAUUCUUUAGUGUUCCUGUCUUCUGAUUUGAGGUGGAAUUAAAGCUGUAAAUAGGCACCAAGGGAACUUUGAAAAACAUAUUGGUAGUCUUAGUUUGUUCUUUAAAAAUGUGGUGAGAUUUAGGAGCCAGUGCAAUAGAUGUUCCUCAAAAUUUAGAGUAGGAGAUGUCAGUGCUGAAAGUGAGCUGCCCACGUAUGAAUAUAGGAAAACAGUUUUCAGCAGAUAUUAAACAAGUGGCAGGAAGAUAAGAAGUAUCCAAGAAGGGAGCAGUGGGAUGAUUUAACUAAGACUUCAUCUGUAAUAAAAAGGAUUGCCAGGUAUACGUGCAGACCCUGCUAAAAGAGGUGCAGAUUCCCUAAAAAUUACUUUGCACUGUAACACUGCUGAACUUCAGGACAUUUUAGACAGAUAGCAAAAGUCUGACUGCCCUGUUCUGUUGUUUGGAGUUUUUUACUCUAAUAAAGAGGAAAGAAACUCAAACACAAAAAAACAAUUCAAAGCAUUGACUAGACCUGAAAUUGUGCGGAGAGACCUUGAAACUGAAUUAAGGAGGACAAAACUUAAAGAAAUGGUUUUAAAUUAAACCUGUCAGUGUCUUAUCCAUCUAGAAAGAAAUGUUAUGUCUUGCACUUAGCUUACAUGCUUUGUUCUGUGAAGUAGUAGCAUAAUCUCUUUGUGGCGGUCUGAUCUAGGUCUGCCUGUUUAAUCACAUUAAUAAAUGGCAAGUAUCAUGCUCAUAAGUGAAGACUCUGAUCCUCUAGAGUAAUAUUUUAUUCCCUCUCAUAGUUUUGCUUUCCCUUCAGCACAUCACCUCCCUUCUGCAUUGUCUCUCACUCUUGUAUUGCUUCUCUGAUCUGUGUGCAUGAUUCUAUACAAAAGUAGACCUUAGCUUCCAAAGCACCUUUGCUGUAAGCAGCUGUGAUAAACAGCUUUAUCUCCUUUUUUUUUUCCCCUUACUUUCUUCACUUUUUAUUUAUUCUCUCUCCCACCCACAAGCUCUGGGAAAACCAAGGAAGAAAGAUACUAAAAUAGGACUUAACCCAGUAUGAAACUGAGAGAAAUGGAAGAGACCAUGGCAAGACAACAAAUUUUGUGCUCAAAUAUAAGUACUGCAUUCCCCAAAGGAAAAGACAAUUAUAAUUCCAAGUUUUUUAUUAUAUCUUCCUCCUGAAUUUUACUAAAACAUUUUUCAAAUGCUCUAAGUGGGAGCCUUCGGUAGUCAUGCAUACACACACGCAAAGCUAAUCCCUUGGUUUAAGUGGGUUGAUGUUUCCAAGCGUGAGUGAAGUGAAGGAAAAAUUAUCAACUUCUAAGUUGCUAUAUGUGAAAUUUUGGAAUUGAGACAUUUCUCUUCAUGCACUUGAAAUACUUGUUAAAAGCACCACACGAAAGAGUUUGCCUUGACACCAGAAGUUAUCUUUUUUCUGUGUGUCAUUAUCUUUAUCUCUGAACUCUGCUACAGUCACUGGUAUAUUUUUGUUUGCUAACUAAAGCAAACUAAUCUUAUUUUAGCUUUCCUUGCUAUUAAAACUUCUUUUUUCUCCAAAACCAAAGCAGACAUAAGAGAAGGGAAGUAUGUGGGUUUCCAUGAUGACUAAUGUGGUCCUGAGAAGAAUCUGUGCAAACUUUCAGGUACACACUGUUGUCCAGAAUUUCUACUCGAUGAUGUGUAUGGUUAUUUCUUGUAGAACAGUUCCUCUAGCACAGCUGGGUAUUAGCUUUUACACUUUAGACUCUGGCAUAGAUGAAGUGGACAUCUCUGAGAAAGACUGAAACAUGGACCAUGUCUAGUUAAUGCCGAAUCUACUUUUUCUUCUCGUAAGUGGAGUGCACAUCAGAAGGAAACUUUUACCUUGUAUAGAUGUUAUCCUAUCAGUACAGAAAAAAUAGUAAUUUGUAUGAUUUCCUAUAUUAUAGCAAAUGCAGAUGUCGAGGUUUUGUGUCAGUUGUGAAAUGAAGCAGGAACCUUGUAAGCCUUAAAUUUGGUAAGGCUUAAUAAAUUGCCAAAAGAACAAAAAGCAUAUGAUUUCACAGACAUAACAGGCAGCAACUAGUACCUGUUUGGUUUCAUAUUGUUCAUCCCCGAAAUGUGGAAUGGCAUCAGUGUGUGGCACCGGCACCAGAGUCUUCAGUUUGGUGGACUCUUGCACUAUUGCACCCAGAUGUGUUUAAUUUUUUGUGUUUAUUCCUGAAAAGUUGUCCUUCAAAAACUUCUGAGAACGCCAAAUAAAUUAGGACUUCAUUAACCAACCUCUUGAUAGUUCAUUUUACUUUCUUUUUCAGGUCAAAGCUUGCCAGUAAUUUUGAGCUACAUACCAGCACCAGUCCUGAAACCAGCCCCUUCUUCCAGGCUGCAUUUGCUAGUGUUCACAUUCUUGCAUAUUAACCAAAUCAGAACUCUCAAAAUAAUCUGCUUUGGCCAGUCAUAUAUUUUCAUUACCAAGGGUCUAACUGGUCUUGGAGGCAGGAAGGAAAAAAGGAGACUUAACAGAUUCUUCAGUUGCACAAGAUCUGCCUUCUUGCUUUGAAGUUAAUCACAAUAUGCCAUUGUAGGCUCUCAUGAAACAAUUGCCCAUGUGUGUUAUCAUUCCGCAGCAGCUUAUCCCACAGGGAUCAAAAUAGCAUUGCCUUGAGCUGGGCCAGUGUCCAUGCCUAAGGAUAGCCUCACUCCAGCCCCUUCUAAAGCUGUGAAACAUUUUAUUUUAGUUCUUUUGCAAAUACCUGUCCAUUGUCAGUGCUAGCUCUUUCAUAGUUUAGACACAAGACAUGUUUGCCUCUUCUUAGUGAAAAUUUAGUAAAAUUUUAAGGUACCUGUUUUGCAUUUUUUUAAAGUGACCUAGAAGCCUCAGCUUCAUUCACUUGCAGAAUGAGCAUAGCUUUGUCUAAACCUAACGAUUUAUGUUGUCCAACUCAAAAUUUCCUUUAUUUCUUAUGCAGUCAAAGCUGCAGUGUGGAUGUAAAUGCAACUGUGUGAAAAACUUCACUAUAAAGUAAAAAAAACCCUCUACUAUGGUAUCAGCUUCUCAAUUAGAUGCAACUAUGUUAGAGUAGAAGUAGAAAAAACUAUGGUGAGAGGGUGCCUUUUCCUAAGUAAAAAUUUUAGAACUAUCUAAUUUAUAGUUAUCUCCUUUAAGAUAUUUCAGUAAUGUUGAUAUUUAUUCCACUUUUAUUUUGUAAAGAUUUAAAUGAGGGUGAAAUGGGCAAUUUUUUUACCAAAAUGCAUGGAAGUUAAUUGUUUUAUAACCAAUAGAUUCUUUUGCAAUUGUAGUAAAAAUGCAACAACUCUGUGCAAGAGAAAAAAAGAUAAAAUUAUAAAAUGAGUGACAGAAGCAUUUGAAUACUCUAAUUCUGAAAUCAAAAUUUUCUGGUCUUCUUUAAUCUACAAAACCCAACUAAAGCACAGGUUGUUGUUUGUUUGUUUGUUUGUUUUUUUAAUAUGAUGGGGAAGUAAUAUAAUGUGUGAUAAAAUAGUCUGGGUAAAGGGAUUUAGUAGAGAUAGUCUCUAAGACUGAGAAUGUGACAUUUUCUCUCUAGAAAACGCAAUGGCUCCUUCACUGUACAGUGGAAUGAGAUCUUGGACUGUAGUAACAAAUCCAAGGCUAAAAACAAAGACUGGGGAUUUAGGCCAUUCACCUUGGACAGAGGAAAAUGUUUGAAUCUAGAUCUCCUGAAUCUCAACAAUGUUAUUUUCUAGAUUCUGUAGUCACCUUCCUUCUCCAACAAAUGUUUCUAUUUAAAAGAGAAUAAUUUAAGGGAAAAGUUAACUUCCAUAUAGCCUGUAAUCUGAGAAACUGUGUUUUGAGUUACUGGUUUUAAGCAAAGCAAAAAGCUGAAUCUGAAGAAGUUUGAAAUCCUAAUAAAGUGUACUGGGGAAGGAGAAAGUGUCUCAUAUUUGCCAUUCUACAGGGUUUCACAAUUCACCCUGUCUGUCUCAGCUUCCCCAGAGGUUUCUCAGUAUACAGUAUGAGUCUGAAGUGUGAGACUUGUCUACUUCUAUAGCUUCUGAACAAGAUUAAAGGAAGAGUGAGACCCACAUCCUGAGGAAGGUGGCUCACCAUGUGACAAAUUUCAAAUAUUAUUUUCUCAUACAAUGUAAAGAGUUCUAUGCUUCUGGUAAUCUACAGUUCAGAUUCAUUUUGACAAUAGAUACUUCCUAAAUAAUUUAAUUUUUGCUAAUUUUCACUUAAAUAUUUAAGUUGUUUUAUUGGUUAAAAAAUUGCAAUUACUUUUUACCUGAAGCUUUGUUUGGUUCCUACUGUUUAGAUUUAGGUUUGCUCAUCCUUUCCUCUUCUCUCUUUUUUAAAGAAGAAAAUGCCUUUGGAAUAAGCAGUGUGGUAGUGAAUUCCUUUACCACUUGCACCUCCAAAUAACAUUGAGAAUGGAAUGUGUCCAUGGUAACCAGGAUGCACUCAUAACACUUUCCAUUCUUCUCUUUUAAUCUAUGCAAAUAGUAUAGUAUUAUAAAAUCUAUGCAAUAUUUUUAUUUGAAAUAACCACAUGCUAACAAAUUACCAAGGUAACUGCAAUUUGCCCUGGGUAUUUGUACAUAAAGCAGUUUUUUAAUGGGGUGGUGCUAUUGACAGUUUGUUCCACUGUAAAUGGAAGAAUAAUGUUUCAAACAAUCACAGUGGUGUUCAAUAAAAUGACUUGAAUAUUUUACUUUUCCUGUGCCUCCACAUGUUGGUCUGAUCUUUCCAUUUUGGCAGAGUUCCAUGGCAGUGUGAUUCCUGGUACAGCAAUUAAGAGGAGGCAAUGUUAUGGAAGUAUGUAUUUCUUUAGUUUUUUUUGAAAUUCCUAUUAAAAUGCCUUGGAAUUUAGAAAACAAUAAUUUGGAAUUGUACAACAAUACUGCAAGAAAGUACAUUUUUAUACCCAUAUUAAAACAUCUGCUGUAAUAGACAAGGGUAUUUAAUUUGCAGAAUAUUGGCUUAUAUUCCAUUUUAAAGUUUGUUAGAUUCUGUAAAGACAAAAACCUUUUUCAAGAGUCUAAACACAGAUAUGCCCACCUAGUGUUUAGAAUAAGUAUGUUCUUGGGCACUCACAUAUAUUUAAGCUUACAUUAUAGAUAAAUUCAUUCAUAUACACAAAAUAACAAAAAAAUAUAUAGAAUACUUACUGUGAAAAGUUUGUCUUGCUUACAGCAGUGCAGAUUUUGAGUAUUUUCUAUCUGUAUGCACUUUGUUUUGUUGUAUUGUACAUUCCAGACUGAAAAGUGUUGAUUAAUGUAUUUUAUUACAGAUCUCAACGCAUUGUAAUCUCUGGUACAGUAGAGCUCUGCUUUUUAAAGAAUCAAACUUACAAAAUUGUGUAUAGUUAAUUUUCUGUAUAGACUUAUAGAUUUAAUCUGUAGAACAUUUUAAGGUAUGCAAGUUCAAAAGUUUAAAAGCAACAGUUAUUAAUCAGUUUUGGUAAGUGGUUCUGGGGACAGGUAGCUAUUUUGUUUUUCAGUUACAUUUGGCAUUUUCAUUCUGAGAAAUUGGUUUGUUUGUUUGUUUUUUAAAGAAAUGUCACUUCCAACAGUAACAGGAAAAGGCCAAGAGAAAGCCUAUUAACCAUGUUUCUUUUCUCCUUUAACAAUGGGGGUUUUCUCAUAUAUACUGUAUUCAUGUGUCCAUGUUGAAGGAUAUCCAAGAUGAGGAACAUGUUAGAGAUGUUUUUUCUUUCUCUACUGGUGUAUCAGUUUUGUUUUGACCUUAUUCUCACCUCAUGUUUUCCACAAAUAAGAAUGGAAGUAGCCUUGUGCGCUGCUUCUCCCUACACUGCUAGAGAUGAAAAGAGCUUUAGGAAGUACAGUAGGGCAUUCAGUGUACUAUUAUCCCUGUGCUGGGCUGCAAUCAUUCGAGUUCUAAAGCCUUCCCAGGUAGCAACAUCAUCUGUGAAACAGAAUGACAAGGGCUUUAUAAUCCCUUUUGCAUUGAAUCCUCAUUACCACUGGUGUAUGAAAUGAGGUUAUGUUAACAACAUGGUAGUCUAUAUUGUGCAUGUUCCUUGCAGAAAUAUUAAUUCCACUGUAUCAAAGGCUUCAAUGGUAUAUUUAUUUUUCAUAUAUUAAAUUCUAGAAUGCAGUUUGGAUGAAUAUGGGCUUUUUUGCCUUCAAAGAUGCAGCUGUUUCACUGCAAAGGACUAGAGACUUUAUUGUAAAAUAAAAUGAAUUUAUGUAACUGAGUAGGACUUUUUCCUUUUAUUCCUACAAAAGGUUGUUUUGCAGAGUACUGUGGAUAUCUCUGAGUGUUAAUCAAAGCUAUUUUAUAUGUAUGCAAUCAGAUAUGUGAUUUAGCCAUUAUGAUUACCCCAUAUAGUGAUAUAUUAGCCACAAUAACCAUCAAAAUGAUAAAUUUUACCUGGUUAUAUUUGACAUUCAGAUAAAAAUGUUAAGCUAUUAUUCUAACUUAUUUACUGCUGUAUAGGAGAUAUCAACAGGAUAAAAGAAAAACUUGAAAAAUACGGACAUGAUUGGUAUAGGCCUGCCUUAGAAGAUAGUCUGGAAUAGGAGUUUUAAUUUGAAAAUUAAACUAAAUACAACUCAUUGGGAGUUACAAAUACUUAAUACUCUACUUUAAAAUCUCCAUUUUAGCAGUGAAAUACCAGAGAGAUCUAAAGUUAAAUUUUAUGUUGAGAGAUGUAUACCACUGUUGUCAGCGCUAAGAUUUGUAAAAGUAACUCCAUUUUUUUCAGUCAAUAUAUGGAAGUAUUGACAGUUUACUCAAGGCUUGCUUUUAAUUUUCCUUUUUGGCAUGCCAGUAGAAAAAAGAAAGUUCUGUGGAGUAUGUGUUUUUAUACACACAUGUAUGUGAAUGUGUUUAUAAAUGUUCACCUCUCUAAUAUUCUCAUUUUUCUGUUUUAUCACUCAUGUCAGGAGCCCACCUAUAGAUAUGGCCGUGUAAAGUCCUGACUUUUCUUAAUUAAAUAGAAGGGAAUAAACCAGAUUAAUAUUAGUAACACUGGAUUAGAUGGGUUUUUUAACCUUGUCUAUAACAGCAGUGAAUUUUACUUGUGGCUUGGAGCGUGCUCUUUAUGAGCACCUUGUGUGAAUGAUGAUGACUUUCCUCUUGGGUAGGCCCAGCUGUGACAGCAACAGAAAGAAAGUCAAUGUUAAAAGGUGACACACUGUUCAAGCACAUAUGUAAUGUUUUAAGACAACUCUGGGAAAAUUGCUGGUAGUUAGGACCACUUAUACUCCAUCAUUUCAUAGCUAUCUAGUUUACUAUUCACGUUAAUUUUUUUGUCUCGGUUGCAUGCUUUGUAAUGCAGAUUUUUUUUUCUUUUUCUGUCUCUGAAAAUGUGAGUUGAACAUUACUUCUGGAAAGCUUUUGCCAGAGUUUUCAGAAUUCUUAAAUGCUGAGCUUUGAACUGUCCUAUUAGUUUUGAUUUUUACAAAACGUUAAAGUCCCAGUUUGACUUCUAAGCUGCCACUUCUGAAUGCCUGAGCAGUUGGAUGGGUAUAUCUACUUAACCACAUAACUUGACACCUGAUACAUUGUGAUUGUAUGAAUAAAUGAGAAACAAAACCAGAAUCUUUGUAGUCUUGCCUGUUGAGAUAUCUUGUGUGUGAAGUGUGUGUUUAUUUCUAUGAAUGAUUUGCAUGCAGGAGUUGUUAAAACAUUUUACACUUGUUGCCAGUGCAUUAGGGGAUGUUUAUUGUCCCUUGAAGCUGCUGGUAAUGUAACUGUGGUCUGAUCUUUUAGGAAAACUUUUUUUGGGACUGUAGUAAUAUUUACGUGGUCCCAACCCUGAAUCUGGUAUAAUAUUUAUCUCCUGGUGCUUGAUAUUAAUUUCAUCUGCCUUUUUUCUUUUUUUUCUUUCACAAUUGUAGGUAAUUUUCAGGUGGUGGAAAAUCUCCCUUAGGAAUGAAUUUCAUAAUUUAAAACCUAGAGAAAUUAUAGCGUCCCAGGAGGAUAAUAAUAAUUACAAAUGUUGGGUGGCAAUAUUGAUCUGCAAUAAAUUUCAUGAAAGAUGGGAUUGCUUUGGCUAACAUACUUCUUCCUCUGAAUUAAUUAAUAUAAAUUAAUAUAUGAAUCAUGAAAAAACCAAAAAGAUGUGACAAUAAACCUAAAUAUAUGAAAAAGCCCAGCAGCAUUCAUAGUUUCAUUGUAAGACAAUGACAGAGAUUUUAGCCACAAAUAUAGGCCAGAAAGCAAUGUUCUUAUGGCUGAUAACUCAUAAUGCUCUGUGCCAGCACAUUUGUUUCUAUGGCCAUGUUGUGAGCCAUCCAGAUUUGAAUUCCCAGUCUAAUUUGACACAACUGCUAAUGCAACAGGUGACUGGGUCUAUACAAGUGCAAAAUUACUCCAGGAGCAGACAGCCAGGAAAAGAAGGGCAGUGGGGACACCACUAAAUUAACCUCAGAGACAGGCUGGCCACUGAGAACAUCUGAAAUAAUGAUGCAUUUUCCCAAAGUUCCAUGGAACUGUGUCCCAGGUAGUUAUUGCUCUGCAUCUGAUAAUUUUGGUCCCCAGUAAUGGAUUAACUUAAGAGGUGGUCAUGUUACAAGAUGCAGUUGAUCAUGGUUCACAGAGAAAACAGUCUUCUGAAAAUACUGAUCCAGAGACAUCUUUAUUCAGUAACUGCUGGGGAUGGGUGAGGUGAGCUAUGCCUAGUCUGGAAAUGGAGAAUUUCUUAACUGCACCUGCAGUCUCUUUUGUAGCCCAAGACCUAAUAGCACAAACCACCUCAGAUUGGUGAGAUCUUGACUUUUUAAAAAAUAAACUGCUUUUGUAUUCUCACUCUGUACAGGCAUUAAAAAAUAUUUACAAUGUGACUUCAUAA